rnacentral:tRNA from 1 species
GAGUAUUUAGUUUAUCCUUAAAACAAUUGUUUUGAAAACAAUUUAAAAGGCACACUAGCCUUAAUACUCU